UCUUAUGGAUGAGCAAAUAAUAUAGUUUCUUGAGAUGGGAUCUACUUCCGGUGAAGGUGCUGUGAA
rnacentral:pre_miRNA from 1 species